GGUUAAGCGACUAAGCGUACACGGUGGAUGCCCUGGCAGUCAGAGGCGAUGAAGGGCGUGCUAAUCUGCGAUAAGCGCCGGUAAGGUGAUAUGAACCGUUAUAACCGGCGAUACCCGAAUGGGGAAACCCAGUGUGAUUCGUCACACUAUCAUUAACUGAAUCCAUAGGUUAAUGAGGCGAACCGGGGGAACUGAAACAUCUAAGUACCCCGAGGAAAAGAAAUCAACCGAGAUUCCCCCAGUAGCGGCGAGCGAACGGGGAGGAGCCCAGAGCCUGAAUCAGCAUGUGUGUUAGUGGAAGCGUCUGGAAAGGCGCGCGAUACAGGGUGACAGCCCCGUACACAAAAGCGCAUGUGCUGUGAGCUCGAUGAGUAGGGCGGGACACGUGGUAUCCUGUCUGAAUAUGGGGGGACCAUCCUCCAAGGCUAAAUACUCCUGACUGACCGAUAGUGAACCAGUACCGUGAGGGAAAGGCGAAAAGAACCCCGGCGAGGGGAGUGAAAAAGAACCUGAAACCGUGUACGUACAAGCAGUGGGAGCACAGGUUUACCUGUGUGACUGCGUACCUUUUGUAUAAUGGGUCAGCGACUUAUAUUCUGUAGCAAGGUUAACCGAAUAGGGGAGCCGGAGGGAAACCGAGUCUUAAUUGGGCGUUAAGUUGCAGGGUAUAGACCCGAAACCCGGUGAUCUAGCCAUGGGCAGGUUGAAGGUUGGGUAACACUAACUGGAGGACCGAACCGACUAAUGUUGAAAAAUUAGCGGAUGACCUGUGGCUGGGGGUGAAAGGCCAAUCAAACCGGGAGAUAGCUGGUUCUCCCCGAAAGCUAUUUAGGUAGCGCCUCGUGAAUUCAUCUCCGGGGGUAGAGCACUGUUUCGGCUAGGGGGCCAUCCCGGCUUACCAACCCGAUGCAAACUGCGAAUACCGGAGAAUGUUAUCACGGGAGACACACGGCGGGUGCUAACGUCCGUCGUGAAGAGGGAAACAACCCAGACCGCCAGCUAAGGUCCCAAAGUCAUGGUUAAGUGGGAAACGAUGUGGGAAGGCCCAGACAGCCAGGAUGUUGGCUUAGAAGCAGCCAUCAUUUAAAGAAAGCGUAAUAGCUCACUGGUCGAGUCGGCCUGCGCGGAAGAUGUAACGGGGCUAAACCAUGCACCGAAGCUGCGGCAGCGACGCUGAUGCGUUGUUGGGUAGGGGAGCGUUCUGUAAGCCUGUGAAGGUGGCCUGUGAGGGUUGCUGGAGGUAUCAGAAGUGCGAAUGCUGACAUAAGUAACGAUAAAGCGGGUGAAAAGCCCGCUCGCCGGAAGACCAAGGGUUCCUGUCCAACGUUAAUCGGGGCAGGGUGAGUCGACCCCUAAGGCGAGGCCGAAAGGCGUAGUCGAUGGGAAACGGGUUAAUAUUCCCGUACUUGGUGUUACUGCGAAGGGGGGACGGAGAAGGCUAUGUUGGCCGGGCGACGGUUGUCCCGGUUUAAGCGUGUAGGUGUGUGUUCCAGGUAAAUCCGGUUCACUUUAACACUGAGGCGUGACGACGAGGCACUACGGUGCUGAAGCAACAAAUGCCCUGCUUCCAGGAAAAGCCUCUAAGCAUCAGGUAACAUCAAAUCGUACCCCAAACCGACACAGGUGGUCAGGUAGAGAAUACCAAGGCGCUUGAGAGAACUCGGGUGAAGGAACUAGGCAAAAUGGUGCCGUAACUUCGGGAGAAGGCACGCUGAUAUGUAGGUGAAGCGGUUUACCCGUGGAGCUGAAAUCAGUCGAAGAUACCAGCUGGCUGCAACUGUUUAUUAAAAACACAGCACUGUGCAAACACGAAAGUGGACGUAUACGGUGUGACGCCUGCCCGGUGCCGGAAGGUUAAUUGAUGGGGUCAGCGCAAGCGAAGCUCCUGAUCGAAGCCCCGGUAAACGGCGGCCGUAACUAUAACGGUCCUAAGGUAGCGAAAUUCCUUGUCGGGUAAGUUCCGACCUGCACGAAUGGCGUAAUGAUGGCCAGGCUGUCUCCACCCGAGACUCAGUGAAAUUGAACUCGCUGUGAAGAUGCAGUGUACCCGCGGCAAGACGGAAAGACCCCGUGAACCUUUACUAUAGCUUGACACUGAACAUUGAGCCUUGAUGUGUAGGAUAGGUGGGAGGCUUUGAAGCGUGGACGCCAGUCUGCGUGGAGCCGACCUUGAAAUACCACCCUUUAAUGUUUGAUGUUCUAACGUGGACCCGUAAUCCGGGUUGCGGACAGUGUCUGGUGGGUAGUUUGACUGGGGCGGUCUCCUCCUAAAGAGUAACGGAGGAGCACGAAGGUUGGCUAAUCCUGGUCGGACAUCAGGAGGUUAGUGCAAUGGCAUAAGCCAGCUUGACUGCGAGCGUGACGGCGCGAGCAGGUGCGAAAGCAGGUCAUAGUGAUCCGGUGGUUCUGAAUGGAAGGGCCAUCGCUCAACGGAUAAAAGGUACUCCGGGGAUAACAGGCUGAUACCGCCCAAGAGUUCAUAUCGACGGCGGUGUUUGGCACCUCGAUGUCGGCUCAUCACAUCCUGGGGCUGAAGUAGGUCCCAAGGGUAUGGCUGUUCGCCAUUUAAAGUGGUACGCGAGCUGGGUUUAGAACGUCGUGAGACAGUUCGGUCCCUAUCUGCCGUGGGCGCUGGAGAACUGAGGGGGGCUGCUCCUAGUACGAGAGGACCGGAGUGGACGCAUCACUGGUGUUCGGGUUGUCAUGCCAAUGGCACUGCCCGGUAGCUAAAUGCGGAAGAGAUAAGUGCUGAAAGCAUCUAAGCACGAAACUUGCCCCGAGAUGAGUUCUCCCUGAGACUUAAAGUCUCCUGAAGGAACGUUGAAGACGACGACGUUGAUAGGCCGGGUGUGUAAGCGCAGCGAUGCGUUGAGCUAACCGGUACUAAUGAACCGUGAGGCUUAACCUU
rnacentral:rRNA from 2 species